rnacentral:rRNA from 1 species
UACGUAGGGGGGCUAGCGUUGUCCGGAUUUAUUGGGCGUAAAGAGCGUGUAGGCGGCCUGGUAGGUCUGCUGUGAAAACUCGAGGCUCAACCUCGAGAUGUCGGCGGAAACCAUCUGGCUAGAGUCCGGAAGAGGAGAGUGGAAUUCCCGGUGUAGAGGUGAAAUUCGUAGAUAUCGGGAGGAACACCAGUGGCGAAGGCGGCGAUCUGGGUGGAUACUGACGCUGAGGUGCGAAAGCGUGGGGAGCAAACAGGG